CCUACGGGCGGCAGCAGUGGGGAAUAUUGGACAAUGGGCGAAAGCCUGAUCCAGCCAUGCCGCGUGUGUGAAGAAGGCCUUCGGGUUGUAAAGCACUUUCAGUGGGGAAGAAAGCCUUGGGGCUAAUACCCUCGAGGAAGGACAUCACCCACAGAAGAAGCACCGGCUAACUCCGUGCCAGCAGCCGCGGUAAUACGGAGGGUGCGAGCGUUAAUCGGAAUUACUGGGCGUAAAGCGCGCGUAGGCGGUCUGAUAAGCCGGUUGUGAAAGCCCCGGGCUCAACCUGGGAACGGCAUCCGGAACUGUCAGGCUAGAGUGCAGGAGAGGAAGGUAGAAUUCCCGGUGUAGCGGUGAAAUGCGUAGAGAUCGGAAGGAAUACCAGUGGCGAAGGCGGCCUUCUGGACUGACACUGACGCUGAGGUGCGAAAGCGUGGGUAGCAAACAGGAUUAGAUACCCUGGUAGUC
rnacentral:rRNA from 1 species